GCACUGGUAUGCACUGGCUUCGCUGAUUCCCUCCUUUCUGAAGAACUGUAAUGCCAUUAAUUUGGUGUUGCAGGGAAACAGGACUGUUACUUUGAAAAAAUUAGAGUAGUUUAAAGCAGGCUAACGCUUGAAUACAUUAGCAUGGAAUAAUGAAAUAGGACGUUUGAUCCUAUUUUGUUGGUUUCUAGGAUUGACGUAAUGAUUAAUAGGGAUAGUUGGGGGCAUUAGUAUUCAAUUGUCAGAGGUGAAAUUCUUGGAUUUAUUGAAGACUGACUACUGCGAAAGCAUUUGCCAAGGAUGUUUUCAUUAAUCAAGAACGAAAGUUAGGGGAUCGAAGACGAUCAGAUACCGUCGUAGUCUUAACCAUAAACUAUGCCGACUAGGGAUCGGAUGAUGUUAAUUUUUUAAUGACUCAUUCGGCGCCUUACG
rnacentral:rRNA from 1 species